rnacentral:rRNA from 1 species
GACGAACGCUGGCGGCGUGCUUAACACAUGCAAGUCGAACGGACAGGCCCGGCGUUUGUUGGGUGGUCGUUUGGCGAACGGGGGAGUAACACGUGAGUAACCUGCCCUUGACUUUGGGGGAACUUUUGGGAAAUGGGGCGAAUACCGGGGAUGAGCUCCUGCUGCAUGUGGGGGGUUGGAAAGAUUCGGCUGUGGGGGAUGGAAUCGAUGCUUAUCAGCUGGUUUGUGGGGUAGGGGCUUACCAAGGCUAUGACGGGUAGGCGGCCUGAGAGGGUGACCGGCCACAUGGGGACUGCGAUACGCACCAGAAUCCUACGGGAGGCAGCAGUGGGGAAUAUUGCACAAUGGCGGGAAGCCUGAUGCAGCAACGCCGCGUGCGGGAUGCCGGGCUACGGGUUGUAAACCGAUUUCGAAUGUGACGAAGCCUGAGUGACGGUAAUGGGUCAAGAAGCACCGGCUAACUACGUG